GGAUGGUAUGACAGGCAAGAAAGCACUUCCUUUAACUAGAAGAAAUAUUACACAUAUGGUUAAGGAACUGCUACGUGCUUCAUGGCAUCUGUCCACCAUUUUUG
rnacentral:ncRNA from 1 species